rnacentral:lncRNA from 1 species
AGUACAAUUAUUUAUUCAAAUGCCAAGACGACAAAGGACAUAGAAGAACUACCUAGAUGGAUUACUACCCUUGCAAAUUGGGAAAUUACGCCAACAACAAAUGCAUUGAGGACAUAUCCGAAGCAGAUGACGGAGAAGACAAAAUACCUAUUAUGUCAGCAAUUGAAGGACUUAUUCAACUUACACCAUUGCAAUUAUUGCAACCAAAAAGAAGAUAUUUCUAAAGUUUAUCUGCCACCUAUUAUGGAAAAAGACAAAGAAGAAGAAGACAAAAAAUAAAAUGACGACUAAAAGAGUUUUUGUCAUAAUGUAAAAAGUCUUUUAGUCUUGUUAGGCUAGUAUUUUCAAGAGAAGUCUUUUGGUCUUAUUAGGCUAGUAUUUAUUUCUUUCAAGAAAAGUCUUGUAAAUAGUAGGCAAAGUUUUCAUGCAACGUGUCCUAGUGAGUCAGCAUAGAGAUAAGAAGGAAUAAUUUGGGUGGAUGAUGGGGCCCAAUGAGCACCCACACUCUAAUUAUUACCAUCAAUCCUUUGCCUAUAUAUAGGACUUUGUAAAUUCAAAAGAAAUCAUCGGCUCUUCAACCUUGUAUAAUAAAAUUUUUCAUUGAAAAAUUCUCUCUCAUAUA